UGAUUGGUGUUGGGAAAGGACCUGGAAGUGA
rnacentral:piRNA from 1 species